GAUGAACGCUAGCUACAGGCUUAACACAUGCAAGUCGCGGGGCAGCAUGGGGGUUGCUUGCAACCCCUGAUGGCGACCGGCGCACGGGUGAGUAACGCGUAUCCAACCUGCCCUUCACCACGGGAUAACCCGGCGAAAGUCGGACUAAUACCGUAUGUUGUCCAUUGACGGCAUCCGAUUUGGACGAAAGGCUUGGCGGUGUAAGGAUGGGGAUGCGUCCGAUUAGCUUGACGGCGGGGUAACGGCCCACCGUGGCUACGAUCGGUAGGGGUUCUGAGAGGAAGGUCCCCCACACUGGAACUGAGACACGGUCCAGACUGCUACGGGAGGCAGCAGUGAGGAAUAUUGGUCAAUGGGCGUAAGCCUGAACCAGCCAAGUAGCGUGCAGGAUGACGGCCCUAUGGGUUGUAAACUGCUUUUAUGCGGGGAUAAAGUGGCCCACGUGUGGGCUUUUGCAGGUACCGAAUGAAUAAGGACCGGCUAAUUCCGUG
rnacentral:rRNA from 1 species